rnacentral:tRNA from 1 species
GGGCGAUUAGCUCAGUUGGGAGAGCACCCCCCUUACAAGGAGGGGGUCACUGGUUCGAGCCCGGUAUCGCCCA